GUGGGGAAUAUUGGACAAUGGGCGAAAGCCUGAUCCAGCCAUGCCGCGUGUGUGAAGAAGGUCUUCGGAUUGUAAAGCACUUUAAGUUGGGAGGAAGGGCAGUAAGUUAAUACCUUGCUGUUUUGACGUUACCGACAGAAUAAUCACCGGCUAACUUCGUGCCAGCAGCCGCGGUAAUACGAAGGGUGCAAGCGUUAAUCGGAAUUACUGGGCGUAAAGCGCGCGUAGGUGGUUUUGUAAGUUGGAGGUGAAAUCCCCGGGCUCAACCUGGGAACUGCCUACAAAACUGCAUGACUAGAGUACGGUAGAGGGUAGUGGAAUUUCCUGUGUAGCGGUGAAAUGCGUAGAUAUAGGAAGGAACACCAGUGGCGAAGGCGACUACCUGGACUGAUGCUGACACUGAGGUGCGAAAGCGUGGGGAGCAAACAGGAUUAGAAACCCGGGUAGUCC
rnacentral:rRNA from 1 species